rnacentral:rRNA from 1 species
UACGUAGGUGGCGAGCGUUGUCCGGAUUUACUGGGCGUAAAGAGCGCGCAGGCGGUCGUCCAAGUCGCGUGUGAAAGCCCCCGGCUCAACUGGGGAGGGUCACGCGAUACUGAUCGACUCGAAGGCAGGAGAGGGAAGCGGAAUUCCCGGUGUAGUGGUGAAAUGCGUAGAUAUCGGGAGGAACACCAGUGGCGAAGGCGGCGAUCUGGGAAGAUACUGACGCUGAGGUGCGAAAGCGUGGGGAGCAAACAGG